GUAGGGAAUCUUCCACAAUGGACGCAAGUCUGAUGGAGCAACGCCGCGUGAGCGAAGAAGGUCUUCGGAUCGUAAAACUCUGUUGUUAGAGAAGAACACAGGUGAGAGUAACUGUUCACCUGUUGACGGUAUCUAACCAGCAAGUCACGGCUAACUACGUGCCAGCAGCCGCGGUAAUACGUAGGUGGCAAGCGUUAUCCGGAUUUAUUGGGCGUAAAGGGAACGCAGGCGGUUCUUUAAGUCUGAUGUGAAAGCCUUCGGCUUAACCGAAGAUGUGCAUUGGAAACUGGGGAACUUGAGUGCAGAAGAGGAGAGUGGAACUCCAUGUGUAGCGGUGAAAUGCGUAGAUAUAUGGAAGAACACCAGUGGCGAAAGCGGCUCUCUGGUCUGUAACUGACGCUGAGGUUCGAAAGCGUGGGUAGCGAACAGGAUUAGAUACCCUAGUAGUCC
rnacentral:rRNA from 1 species